rnacentral:rRNA from 1 species
ACGUAGGGUGCGAGCGUUAAUCGGAAUUACUGGGCGUAAAGCGUGCGCAGGCGGUCUGCUAAGAGAGAUGUGAAAUCCCCGGGCUUAACCUGGGAACUGCGUUUCUAACUGGCAGGCUUGAGUGUGGCAGAGGGGGGUGGAAUUCCACGUGUAGCAGUGAAAUGCGUAGAGAUGUGGAGGAACACCGAUGGCGAAGGCAGCCCCCUGGGCUAACACUGACGCUCAUGCACGAAAGCGUGGGGAGCAAACAGGA